CAGUUUUGCGACCGACCUACGCGUUGAGCGCCAUGCUCUAUGAGAGUGCGGCCGCGGAAUGAUAAUCCGCAGGUUCAGGGUUCGAGUCCCUGAAUUGCCA
rnacentral:tRNA from 1 species